rnacentral:rRNA from 1 species
AGCGAACGCUGGCGGCAGGCCUAACACAUGCAAGUCGAACGGAUCCUUCGGGAUUAGUGGCGGACGGGUGAGGAACACGUGGGAACGUGCCUUUUGGUUCGGAACAACUCAGGGAAACUUGAGCUAAUACCGGAUAAGCCCUUCGGGGGAAAGAUUUAUCGCCAUUAGAGCGGCCCGCGUCUGAUUAGCUAGUUGGUGAGGUAAAGGCUCACCAAGGCGACGAUCAGUAGCUGGUCUGAGAGGAUGAUCAGCCACACUGGGACUGAGACACGGCCCAGACUCCUACGGGAGGCAGCAGUGGGGAAUCUUGCGCAAUGGGCGAAAGCCUGACGCAGCCAUGCCGCGUGAAUGAUGAAGGUCUUAGGAUUGUAAAAUUCUUUCACCGGGGACGAUAAUGACGGUACCCGGAGAAGAAGCCCCGGCUAACUUCGUGCCAACCGCCGCAGUAACAC